rnacentral:rRNA from 1 species
AGCGAACGCUGGCGGCAGGCCUAACACAUGCAAGUCGAACGGAUCCUUCGGGAUUAGUGGCGGACGGGUGAGUAACACGUGGGAACGUGCCCUUUGGUUCGGAACAACUCAGGGAAACUUGAGCUAAUACCGGAUGUGCCCUACGGGGGAAAGAUUUAUCGCCAUUGGAGCGGCCCGCGUCUGAUUAGCUAGUUGGUGAGGUAAAGGCUCACCAAGGCGACGAUCAGUAGCUGGUCUGAGAGGAUGAUCAGCCACAUUGGGACUGAGACACGGCCCAGACUCCUACGGGAGGCAGCAGUGGGGAAUCUUGCGCAAUGGGCGAAAGCCUGACGCAGCCAUGCCGCGUGAAUGAUGAAGGUCUUAGGAUUGUAAAAUUCUUUUACCAGGGACGAUAAUGACGGUACCUGGAGAAAAAGCCCCGGCUAACUUCGUGCCAGCCGCCGCGGUAAGAC